GUUGCCAGAUUCAGAAUUCCAGCAAGUAUUGUAUUUGGUGGCCUCGAACUUCCACAGAGCGAUAUCAAUGGUGAUACACCUCUCACGCUCAGCCUUGAGCUUGUCGAGCACCCAGGCGUACUCGAAUGACCUCUUGUUCAUCUCAGUGGCUUCCUUCUCGAACCUCUUGAUCACACACUUGUCAAUGCCUCCAAGCUUGUAGAUGAGGUGGCCAGUCGUGGUUGA
rnacentral:rRNA from 1 species